GACGAACGCUGGCGGCGUGCUUAACACAUGCAAGUCGAACGAAGUGGCGAACGGGUGAGUAACGUGUAAUCAACCUGCCCUUCAGAGGGGGACAACAGUUGGAAACGACUGCUAAUACCGCAUACUGAAGGAGGGGAUUGCGUCUGAUUAGCUAGUUGGAGGGGGAACGGCCCACCAAGGGGAUGAUCAGUAGUCGGUCUGAGUGGAGUAACGGCCACUGUGGGAGUGGGACACGGCCCAGACUGCUACUGGAGGACGAAGUGGGGAAUCUUCCGCGAUAGACGAGGGUCAGACGGAGCAACGCGGCGAGGGUGAUGACGGCCUUCGGGUGGUAAGGCUGUGUUAAUCGGGACGCGGUACCGGAAUAGAAAGCCACGGCUAACUACGUGCCAGCAGCCGCGGUAAUAC
rnacentral:rRNA from 1 species